rnacentral:rRNA from 1 species
AUUGAACGCUGGCGGCAGGCCUAACACAUGCAAGUCGAACGGUAACAGGAAGCAGCUUGCUGCUUCGCUGACGAGUGGCGGACGGGUGAGUAAUGUCUGGGAAGCUACCUGAUGGAGGGGGAUAACUACUGGAAACGGUAGCUAAUACCGCAUAAUGUCGCAAGACCAAAGAGGGGGACCUUCGGGCCUCUUGCCAUCGGAUGUGCCCAGAUGGGAUUAGCUUGUUGGUGGGGUAACGGCUCACCAAGGCGACGAUCCCUAGCUGGUCUGAGAGGAUGACCAGCCACACUGGAACUGAGACACGGUCCAGACUCCUACGGGAGGCAGCAGUGGGGAAUAUUGCACAAUGGGCGCAAGCCUGAUGCAGCCAUGCCGCGUGUAUGAAGAAGGCCUUCGGGUUGUAAAGUACUUUCAGCGGGGAGGAAGGGAGGAAAGUUAAUACCUUUGCUCAUUGACGUUACCCGAAGAAGAAGCACCGGCUAACUCCGUG